GGGAACUGAAACAUCUAAGUACCCCGAGGAAGAGAAAUCAACCGAGAUUCCGAAAGUAGCGGCGAGCGAAAUUGGAUUAGCCCUUAAGCUUUUAAUGAGACAGAUGAAGGCUCUGGAAAGUGCCGCAACAAAGGGUGAUAGCCCCGUAAUCGACAUCUCAUAAUCAGUGAAAACGAGUAGGGCGGGACACGUGAUAUCCUGUCUGAAUAUGGGGGGACCAUCCUCCAAGGCUAAAUACUACUGACUG
rnacentral:rRNA from 1 species